rnacentral:pre_miRNA from 1 species
CUCCAGUGAACAUUCAACGCUGUCGGUGAGUUUUGACCUGCAACAGAAACCAUCGACCGUUGACUGUACCCUGAGG